ensembl:lncRNA
UGUAAAUAUAGCAGAAAUGUUAAGUCAUGGCAUGAACCAGUGAUUGAGCACCUGCUGGGAAGGCAGGGCCAAUCCAGGAGAGCUCAGGUACAUGCAAUGAACUGAGUGACCAGAAGGGGGUGGAGUUGGUAGUGGAGGCGGCAGUAUCUUGCUGGAGAUUUUCUGAAGUGCUUCAUUCCUGUUAAAAACAAAGCUGAGAGGAUACCACUCUGAUUAUAUUAACCUGUUUCUAAAGAGAUGAGAAUUUUCCAGUAUUUUUCAUGAUUCACUCCUAGCAUGGGAACUGCAGAGAUUUGACAGACUUUGGGGACUUAAUUAGAAGAACUCUCCUUUGGCGUUCUUGCCACCAAUUAUUAAAAUCUCAAGCAAAUCUUUAAGUGAAGUGAAUUAAGCCAUGGAAGAUGUACCAGUAAAGCCAGCAAACUGUUGUGUACCACAGUGAAUUGUUAUAUUCGAGGUGUAGAAGUUAAACCAAAAUUAUUAGUGAAAGAAAAUUUUUCAUGAAAGUACCU